UAUCCAGCCAAGUUGCGAGAGAAACCCCUGAAGUAGUCUAAAACACAUAUUCAGUUAUCAAAAUUUUUGGUCCUCAAGUCACUUUGAUUUUACUAAAAGCAAUCAUUUGAAGGACAUCUUGUCAGCUGGAAUCCCAAACAAACAGACGAGCGUGAAACAGGAGAAAAAAGAACAGAAAAAUAAACGUGAAAGAGCUACAUAAUGUGAGAUACCAUCUACUCAAAAGUGUUUUAAUAAGCAGAUUUUGUUGAUUUAUACAUUUCUAUUGCGUGAAUAGAUUCAUUGGAUCUGUAAAACAACACCGGAUUUUAAGGGAUUUUAAACUACAUUUGCUUAAAGACACGGGGCAUUAUCCAAGGGCUGCCAUUCUGUAUGUUGAUACAGCUGUUGACCUACCAGAACCUACAUACUUGAUGAUAAUAACUCAAAAACUGUCUCUUUACCAGCCUUUAAUCAAGUAGGAAAGAUUUGUUGGAGCUCUCACUGCCUUCUAUAAAACCUGCUGUUUGGUACCCAUGGAAUACCAAAUUCUCACAACUGCUAGGCCACUCGCUAGUGCUGUAUAUCCAUACAAUUCUGUCCCAGACCCUGCCUUGUAUGCCUAGCAACAUGUGAAGAUUUCUAUUUCUAAAUCCAGUCAUUCCAGUUGUACUUAUUACUGUCAUUAUGCAGUCUCAUUAAAUAUUAUUAAAAGCAAUUAUUAUGGAUAUGAAGAACAAAAGAUCUACUUCCUCUACAAAAACCAAAUCAAAUGCAUUGAAAAGAGACAAUAAAGUCAGGUCACCUUAAAAAUAAAUACUGUCAUCUUAAGUUUGACCAAGACAACCAUAAAAGAUUGAGGAAGGAAAUCAGAUCAUUUAAAAAUGGGAAGAAUAGUGGUCUUAGAUUGCUUUGUAAGUUUCUGUAAGUUCCUCCUUCACCUAAGAAACUGAAGCUUCACAUGGCCAAUGAUGCUGUGUAGGUGUCACUUGUCUGUGAGAGCCAAUGAAGAACAUUAAUCAGAAGAACCAAACUCAAGAACAAGGUCAUUUCCUGCUUCACAAGAUAAUCAGAGCCCGGAUAAUGGUCCUGAGAUUGUCUAGGUGCCACUGUGAAAAAUGCCUCAACCACAAAUGGAUUUCUAAGUAGCCAGACCUAAUGGGCCACCUUUAAUGAUCAACAGAGCCAAAUCUUGUUAUUUCAUACUUAAGGUAACUGGAGCAGGUAAACCACAUAUGAUCUGAUCAGUGUACUCAUUAAAGAAAAAGUUGAUGUAUUUGCUCUAAUAUAUGUCCCUGUGUCAGAUAUAUGUGCCAAUGACACAUCAGAAAAAUUUCUGUUAAGUAGAUAAUCAUUGAUUAACCUAAUUAAUUUCAUAAAUUAAUUUUCCCCAUAACUAUAAUAAAACUUUUUAUGAUGUGGUUUGAUAUAUACAGAUUAUAAAAUAUCCAGGUUAAACCAUGUCUAUGCAAACACUUCCUAAAAUGUGGAUACUAUAAUACAACGUUACUUGCCUCCAUCUCAGGAGGCUUUCCUUUUUGAUAUACCUAUCAUCCC
rnacentral:lncRNA from 1 species